rnacentral:misc_RNA from 1 species
GACCAUCAUCACUAAAAAACUCCAGUGAAACAGGUACAUCUUUCAGAACUGCCAAAGCACAUGCAAUUAUACUAGAUAGUUCACCAUCAUAGUCUCUCACAAUAUAAUUAUCAAUUCCAAGAGGGAUGUGCAACCUUUGUCCUUCCUCGCUGAUUAGUUGGUAGGCUGCAGAUAUGUGUUCUUGUAUAUAGCUACCGAUUGACUGAAAUUUAGGCAUGAAACCUCUCUCAAGAUCCUCCAUGUAUAUCUGGCGGAUUUCUGAAAAUGGCAUCCAGAACCAUCCACUAGAGUUUUCUAAACUGGAUGCUACUGAAUGCAGAGAUGUACCCUUUCUAGAUUCAUCUGAU